UAGGGAAUCUUCGGCAAUGGACGAAAGUCUGACCGAGCAACGCCGCGUGAGUGAAGAAGGUUUUUGGAUCGUAAAACUCUGUUGUUAGAGAAGAACAAGGACGUUAGUAACUGAACGUCCCCUGACGGUAUCUAACUAGAAAGCCACGGCUAACUACGUGCCAGCAGCCGCGGUAAUACGUAGGUGGCAAGCGUUGUCCGGAUUUAUUGGGCGUAAAGUGAGCGCAGGCGGUUUCUUAAGUCUGAUGUGAAAGCCCCCGGCUCAACCGGGGAGGGGCAUUGGAAACUGUGAGACUUGAGUGCAGAAGAGGAGAGUGGAAUUCCAUGUGUAGCGGUGAAAUGCGUAGAUAUAUGGAGGAACACCAGUGGCGAAGGCGGCUCUCUGGGCUGUAACAGACGCUGAGGGUCGAAAGCGUGGGGAGCAAACAGG
rnacentral:rRNA from 1 species